UCGGAUAUGGUGUAAAAGCAUCAUUGCCGCCUCUCAUUACAGCGUUCGAUGAUCGUGGUGGCAGCUCAGGGUUCGAUUCCCUGCAUCCGAA